rnacentral:rRNA from 1 species
AUGGGCAUUAAUUUCUUAGUGAUCAGCAAGUUGGUUCCUUUUUGGUUGAUGCUAUCAGCUGCUUGCCUGGGUGAUCUAGUGAGGAAUUUUGUCAAUGAACUCCGCAUGUCAAAAAUUGAUGAGAAGUACGUAUCAAUUUGCUUGACCAUUAUGCACUAUGAAUUCAAGUUGAAGUGUCAAUGUUCUGCUAUUAAUUUCAAAAUAUCUUAUGAAUUAGACCCCACUCUCCCAAUUUUUUCCCUACUGAUAUUUUUUAACACUCUUCGUACCAGGUCACGAUCUGCUCCACCAUAUUCUGCUUGCACUUGA